rnacentral:rRNA from 1 species
UACGUAGGGUGCGAGCGUUGUCCGGAAUUACUGGGCGUAAAGAGCUCGUAGGUGGUUUGUCGCGUUGUCCGUGAAAACUCACAACUCAAUUGUGGGCGUGCGGGCGAUACGGGCAGACUGGAGUACUGCAGGGGAGACUGGAAUUCCUGGUGUAGCGGUGGAAUGCGCAGAUAUCAGGAGGAACACCAGCGGCGAAGGCGGCGCUCUGGGCCGGUACUGACGCUGAGGAGCGAAAGCGUGGGGAGCAAACAGG